rnacentral:rRNA from 1 species
GAGCGAAAGCGACGUUCAACCGCAAAACAAGCAGAGGGGGCUUAGUGGUGGGGUGACUGCGUACCUUUUGUAUAAUGGGUCAGCGACUUAUAUUCUGUAGCAAGGUUAACCGAAUAGGGGAGCCGGAGGGAAACCGAGUCUUAAUUGGGCGUUAAGUUGCAGGGUAUAGACCCGAAACCCGGUGAUCUAGCCAUGGGCAGGUUGAAGGUUGGGUAACACUAACUGGAGGACCGAACCGACUAAUGUUGAAAAAUUAGCGGAUGACCUGUGGCUGGGGGUGAAAGGCCAAUCAAACCGGGAGAUAGCUGGUUCUCCCCGAAAGCUAUUUAGGUAGCGCCUCGUGAAUUCAUCUCCGGGGGUAGAGCACUGUUUCGGCUAGGGGGCCAUCCCGGCUUACCAACCCGAUGCAAACUGCGAAUACCGGAGAAUGUUAUCACGGGAGACACACGGCGGGUGCUAACGUCCGUCGUGAAGAGGGAAACAACCCAGACCGCCAGCUAAGGUCCCAAAGUCAUGGUUAAGUGGGAAACGAUGUGGGAAGGCCCAGACAGCCAGGAUGUUGGCUUAGAAGCAGCCAUCAUUUAAAGAAAGCGUAAUAGCUCACUGGUCGAGUCGGCCUGCGCGGAAGAUGUAACGGGGCUAAACCAUGCACCGAAGCUGCGGCAGCGAACGUAUCACCCAAGACAACUUUACGGAGUUGACGAUUGACGGAGCGAAGCGACGUCAAAGCGUUCAUUAAAGUCGAGUUGGCUUAGGGAUACGUUCGUUGGGUAGGGGAGCGUUCUGUAAGCCUGUGAAGGUGUGUCGUGAGGCAUGCUGGAGGUAUCAGAAGUGCGAAUGCUGACAUAAGUAACGAUAAAGCGGGUGAAAAGCCCGCUCGCCGGAAGACCAAGGGUUCCUGUCCAACGUUAAUCGGGGCAGGGUGAGUCGACCCCUAAGGCGAGGCCGAAAGGCGUAGUCGAUGGGAAACGGGUUAAUAUUCCCGUACUUGGUGUUACUGCGAAGGGGGGACGGAGAAGGCUAUGUUGGCCGGGCGACGGUUGUCCCGGUUUAAGCGUGUAGGUGUGUGUUCCAGGUAAAUCCGGUUCACUUUAACACUGAGGCGUGACGACGAGGCACUACGGUGCUGAAGCAACAAAUGCCCUGCUUCCAGGAAAAGCCUCUAAGCAUCAGGUAACACGAAAUCGUACCCCAAACCGACACAGGUGGUCAGGUAGAGAAUACCAAGGCGCUUGAGAGAACUCGGGUGAAGGAACUAGGCAAAAUGGUGCCGUAACUUCGGGAGAAGGCACGCUGACACGUAGGUGAAGUGAUUUACUCAUGGAGCUGAAGUCAGUCGAAGAUACCAGCUGGCUGCAACUGUUUAUUAAAAACACAGCACUGUGCAAACACGAAAGUGGACGUAUACGGUGUGACGCCUGCCCGGUGCCGGAA